UUGUCCUCGAUUGUCUUUGGUUUGGUUGAUGGAGUGAGUGAAGUGGUGGUUGGUUGAAUUUUGGAGUUUUUGUGCUCGCUCGCGCUCGCUCGUGGUAUUUAAUCGAUCGUAAUUUAGUUAUUGUGCACACAUCUAGUUCGUGAAAUUAAACACGAACCUAAACGUGUAAAAGACGUAUUUGGACUACGUAAUAUGAUUACGGAUUUGACUGAUGAAUUGGAUCAAAGCGACAGCGGUAUGGAAUCACUGAUUGCGAGCAAGGAUGACACUCCUGAACGUAGACCUGAAGACAGUUUCAUAAUCCCUUCGCUAGGAUCAUCCCCCAGCGCAGGUACACCAAUAGGAACUUUGAAAGAAUACGACGAUGAGCCUGAUGAAACUCUUUCCGAAAGACUAUGGGGAUUGACUGAGAUGUUUCCGGAGUGUGUCCGGAAUGGCACAUACACAGUUACUACUACAACUUGGUCUGGCGUAAAGUCCUUGUAUGGUCUAUCCCGCUCAGUCAUGUGGAUCGUGGCGAGUUCAUCCGUAAUUCUAUUUGCCCCAGUCAUCUUUGAGGUAGAGCGAGCACAAGUGGAAGAAAUGCAAAAAUCACAGCAAAAACAGGUAAUAUUUUCAUAUUGAUUCAAACUAUGUCAAAUAGUAGUCAGCAACCUUUUUAUUUGCAUCUUGGUCUAAUGGUUAAAUCCUAAAAUAUAAAAUAAUAAUUAUUUAUUGGUACAUAGUGAUAAUAAUUAUGAUCUUCACCUUAUGAAAAGGUCUUUAGUACAUAAGAGAAGUUGUUGUUUUAUUCUUGUAUUUCAAGUCUACAUGUUUCAUUUCAGGUCUUAUUGGGAACUAAUACUGCCCUGUCCGGUCCAAUGCCCAACAUGCCACCAAUGCCGCGAUAAGCCAAAAAAUUUAACAUAAUAAUUUACAUCCAUCUAUGUAUGACACACUAUAGGACACAAAAUGUCAUCCUAAAUGCUUUAAUGUUAGUUUUUUAGAUUAAUUAAAUAGGUACUUUUAUUGUAAUAUUUGAAAUAAUUUUAUUGAAGUUUAUUAUUUCCUGUUAAAAAUUCUAGCAUGUUCUGAAGAUUUCUAUUGAUCUGUGUACUAAUUGCAUUUAAUUAAGAUAUCAAUCAAAUAUCAGUCUGCAAGAAUUGGAGAGAGAACACAAGCUUAUUAUCUUUUCUUUGCUUUUACACUACCUAUACUCUUUUUAUAUAAAAUAAUCGUUUGGUCAUUGUUGGUGUAAGUAGGUACCUUAUUAAUGGAAUGUAUAG